rnacentral:lncRNA from 1 species
GUACAUGCAUCAGGCUAGGGAGGGCUUCUUUGUACCACAGAGCCACUCACCUGCAUAAGCUAUGUAAAACAUCUGUAGCUAAACACACAUGUUCUCACUGCAUCUGCAUCUGGAACCACAGAAGUGGUUUCUUUAGAACCCCCAUUACUGAACCUGGGCUUCCAACUGGAUCCAUAUCCUUAGAUUCACAGUGCAGGGGGGAGACCUAGGGCUGUGAGGUGUUGGGAAAGCUGGGGGGAACUGGGCCUUCCUCCAGAACCUGCUCUUGAGGUGCAUAUUGAGACCAGAUACCCCACUCUGUGGCCCAAGGUCUUGAGAUCGCCAGCGUUGUCCCAAUGUGAUCUGCUGCCUGGAUGCUCUGCUUUGUCACAAACCCAAAGGCAGUGGCGCCAAGAGGCAAUGAAGAGCAUGGAGGACAGUAUGAAGCUGAAUAAUGUUUUGCUCUCCUGUCUGACAACUGUUUCCCUUUGAUUGGAAGGCUAAUCUGUUCACAUUUCAUGUUUUAGCUGUCCUAUACAGCCAAUGAAGACCCGCCUGAUGACAAUUCCUGGAUGCUCUGGAAAAGGAAUUGGGCCAUACCUCUUCGACUGCACUGGAUUCAACUUACUCCGUUUCGACUGACACUCCGACCAGAGUUUCGAGUACUGACUUCAAUCAAGUUGAGAAUUUCAAUCUAGAUUUUCAAUCAAGCAAUUUCCAUCUAACAUGGACUGGAGAUG